rnacentral:rRNA from 1 species
GACGAACGCUGGCGGCGUGCUUAACACAUGCAAGUCGAACGGAAAGGCCCUGCUUUUGUGGGGUGCUCGAGUGGCGAACGGGUGAGUAACACGUGAGUAACCUGCCCUUGACUUUGGGAUAACUUCAGGAAACUGGGGCUAAUACCGGAUAGGAGCUCCUGCUGCAUGGUGGGGGUUGGAAAGUUUCGGCGGUUGGGGAUGGACUCGCGGCUUAUCAGCUUGUUGGUGGGGUAGUGGCUUACCAAGGCUUCGACGGGUAGCCGGCCUGAGAGGGUGACCGGCCACAUUGGGACUGAGAUACGGCCCAGACUCCUACGGGAGGCAGCAGUGGGGAAUAUUGCACAAUGGGCGGAAGCCUGAUGCAGCAACGCCGCGUGCGGGAUGACGGCCUUCGGGUUGUAAACCGCUUUCGCCUGUGACGAGGCGUGAGUGACGGUAAUGGGUAAAGAAGCACCGGCUAACUACGUGCCAGCAGCCGCGGUGAUACGUAGGGUGCGAGCGUUGUCCGGAUUUAUUGGGCGUAAAGGGCUCGUAGGUGGUUGAUCGCGUCGGAAGUGUAAUCUUGGGGCUUAACCCUGAGCGUGCUUUCGAUACGGGUUGACUUGAGGAAGGUAGGGGAGAAUGGAAUUCCUAGUGGAGCGGUGGAAUGCGCAGAUAUCAGGAGGAACACCAGUGGCGAAGGCGGUUCUCUGGGCCUUUCCUGACGCUGAGGAGCGAAAGCGUGGGGAGCGAACAGGCUUAGAUACCCUGGUAGUCCACGCUGUAAACGGUGGGUACUAGGUGUGGGGUCCAUUCCACGGGUUCCGUGCCGUAGCUAACGCUUUAAGUACCCCGCCUGGGGAGUACGGCCGCAAGGCUAAAACUCAAAGGAAUUGACGGGGCCCCGCACAAGCGGCGGAGCAUGCGGAUUAAUUCGAUGCAACGCGUAGAACCUUACCUGGGUUUGACAUGGAUCGGGAGUGCUCAGAGAUGGGUGUGCCUCUUUUGGGGUCGGUUCACAGGUGGUGCAUGGCUGUCGUCAGCUCGUGUCGUGAGAUGUUGGGUUAAGUCCCGCAACGAGCGCAACCCUUGUUCACUGUUGCCAGCACGUUAUGGUGGGGACUCAGUGGAGACCGCCGGGGUCAACUCGGAGGAAGGUGGGGAUGACGUCAAGUCAUCAUGCCCCUUAUGUCCAGGGCUUCACGCAUGCUACAAUGGCUGGUACAGAGAGUGGCGAGCCUGUGAGGGUGAGCGAAUCUCGGAAAGCCGGUCUCAGUUCGGAUUGGGGUCUGCAACUCGACCUCAUGAAGUCGGAGUCGCUAGUAAUCGCAGAUCAGCAACGCUGCGGUGAAUACGUUCCCGGG